AAGGAUCAUUAAUGAAUUACAAGUCGGUCAUCUGUGCUGGUGGAAACACAUGUGCACGUUGAUCGCAAAUCCACACACCUGUGAACCUUUGACUCUGAGAUUCGCUUGUGCAAACUUGCAGCUGGUCAACUUUGGUCGGCCUGGAUCUUGGAGUAUUUUUACACACUCUGAAUGUAAUGGAAUGUCUAUGUGCAUAACGCGCAAAAAAACAACUUUCAACAACGGAUCUCUUGGCUCUCGCACCGAUGAAGAACGCAGCGAAAUGCGAUAAGUAAUGUGAAUUGCAGAAUUCAGUGAAUCAUCGAAUCUUUGAACGCACCUUGCACCCUUUGGUAUUCCGAAGGGYACACCCGUUUGAGUGUCAUUGUAAUCUCACUCCUUYRACUUUGUUGUUGUUGGAUGUGGACUUGGACUCUGUCGUGUCACAACGACUGGUCUUAAAUGAAUGAGUGCACCCUGCUGUUGCAGCGUCUUCAGUGUGAUAAGCAUCUUCACUGGAACAAAGUUCCCUUUUGGGACACGCAGGCAUUGUAGGCUCUGUGCUGGCAAACCGUCCUUUUUGGACAAAUCUUUGACAAUUUGACCUCAAAUCGGGUGGGACUACCCGCUGAACUUAAGCAUAUCAAUAAGCGGAGGAAAAGAAACUAACAAGGAUUCCCCUAGUAACGGCGAGUGAAGAGGGAAAAGCUCAAAUUUUGAAUCUGGUGUCUUUGGCGCCCGAGUUGUAAUCUAGAGAAGUGUUUUCUGCCUCGGACCACACAUAAAUUCCCUGGAAUGGGGUGUCAUAGAGGGUGAGAAUCCCGUUUGUGGUGUGGACUACCUUGGCUCUGUGAUACACUCUCAACGAGUCGAGUUGUUUGGGAAUGCAGCUCAAAAUGGGUGGUAAAUUCCAUCUAAAGCUAAAUAUUGGCGAGAGACCGAUAGCGAACAAGUACCGUGAGGGAAAGAUGAAAAGCACUUUGGAAAGAGAGUGAAACAGUACGUGAAAUUGUUGAAAGGGAAGCGUUUGAAGUCAGUCGCAUUGGUCAGAACUCAGCCUGGCUUCUGCCUGGUGUAUUUUCUGGCAAAUGGGUCAGUGUCAAUUUUGAUCGAGAGAGAAAGACUUGAGGAAUGUGGCUGUCUUCGGGCAGUGUUAUAGCCUCUUGUUGUAUGUCUCGGUUGGGAUUGAGGAACGCAGCACGCCUUUUGGCCGGGGUUCGCGCCCUCGGUACGUGCUUAGGACACUGGCAUAAUGGCUUUAAGCGAC
rnacentral:rRNA from 1 species